rnacentral:misc_RNA from 1 species
GAAAUGCGAUAAGUAGUGUGAAUUGCAGAAUUCAGUGAAUCAUCGAAUCUUUGAACGCACAUUGCGCCCCUCGGCAUUCCGUGGGACAUGCCUGUUCGAGCGUCAUCUACACCCUCAAGCUCUGCUUGGUGUUGGGCGUCUGUCCCGCCUCCGCGCGCGGACUCGCCCCAAAUGCAUUGGCAGCGGUUCCUUGCCCCCCUCUUUGCGCAGCACAUUGCCAUUCGAGGCGGCGGCGGCCCGCGUCCAACAAGCUCAACCCCCCCGUCUUUGACCUCGGAUCAGGUAGGGAUACCCGCUGAACUUAAGC